UCACAACUUCCAGUGGUAUCGCUUACCAUAAACACCCUGUGGAUCUCACGCUUGAUAAAUUAAUAAUACACUUAAUAGAGCAUGAGCUAUUGUUUAAGUUUUACACAUAAUUUAAAAGUUUUAUUUGAAAUUUCGUGGCUUAAUGUGUAACAUGUGAUAAUUUUUUGAAAUGCAGUAACAAAAACCUGCUCGGUUGGAACCCAAAUACAUUUAGCUUAUUGACUUAAGCAUACCCAUAUGAACAUACAUAUGUAUUAAACAGUAGGCCCAUAUAUUCGUGUGGUGCUGAUAGUGUAAAUGUGUAAAAUGUCUGUGGAAUUGUAAAUAUGUUUUUGUUUAAAGAAAUAUGUACAUAAAUGCACAAAAAUCGGUGCAUAUAUGUGCACAUGCCUAUCCAUAUCUACAUAUUUCUGUACAUGCAUAUGUGCACUAACUACAAUACAUACCACCAUUCGCAAACAGUUUGUCAAAAAAGUGUGUCUACAAGAUAAAACAAAAAACAGUUGCCAAAUCAGUCGCUAUGUUAAGUAAUUCGAAAUUACUGUUCGGUGUUUCUAAUAAGGAUUUUGAUUGUUUAAAAACCGCCAGUUCAUGCAGUGAAGCAACUUAAUUGGUCGAAUUCCGUGCACUGACUUCAAUAAGAAAAUUUUAUUGGCAAGUUGAACAAUUUGGCAGUCGAACUGAAUGUAUUAUGCCCAGCGGAAAAUUGUUAUAUUGUUUAUCUUUGAUAAUAUGUCGAUACAUAUACAUAACAUAAGCAUUGAAAUGGAGUAAAUAUAAGUCAAAAACUGGUUUCGAAAUAGAUUUGAAUGGAUGCAGCUAACCUAACUUAAAAAAAGACAAGUCUUUUAACUUUAAAAAUAUGGCCAACACCAUUUCGUUAAUGUCCAACGCGAUACGCAAUGUAGUGAGCAAAAAACGUAUACGAUACAAAGAAAAAGGAUACAAUUUGGAUUUAACAUACAUUAAUGAUAAUAUAAUUGCCAUGGGGUAUCCGGCACCGGAUAAAAUAGAGGGCCUAUACAGAAACCGUCUAGAGGAUGUCUAUAAAUUUUUGGAAGAAAAUCAUGGCCAACAUUACAAAAUAUAUAAUCUAUGUUUAGAGCGGAAUUAUGACAUCGGAAAAUUUCACGGGAGAGUAGCAAUUUUUCCGUUCGAAGACCAUAACCCUCCAACGAUUGAGUUAAUACAACGAUUUUGCAAGGAUGUUGAUUUAUGGCUUAAGGAAGAUGCGUCCAAUGUCGUUGCAGUGCACUGUAAAGCUGGAAAAGGAAGAACGGGUACCAUGAUUUGUGCAUAUUUACUGUUCAGUGGACUACAAAAAUCCGCUGAUGAUGCAUUAGCGUGGUAUGAUGAGAAGCGUACAAAGGACCGUAAAGGUGUGACAAUCCCAUCUCAGCGUCGAUAUGUUCAGUAUUUUUCCAAACUAGUUUGUUCAAGUGUUCCAUAUGCAAAAAUAAGCCUUAACGUAUGCGAAAUACGAUUCUCGGAGUCCAGUUUUCUUCAAAACCUAGGCACGGUACAAUGUUCAGUAUCUGUAUUACACGACUCGGCCACAGAAAAUGUAAAGCCAGAUAGACUGAAAACCUGGACGAUUGAUUUCCAGAAAUCAUUUGUAUUGACCAGUAAACCAUCAUUAGCAGUUGCGGGUGAUAUAAAAUUCGAACUAUUUUGUGAUAGUUCAAAUUUUAUAUCACCGGUAAGAUCCUCCAUUAAAAAGGUAUGCCAUUUUUGGCUAAAUACAUUUUUUGUGCGUAAUUAUUCAAUCUGCGAGUCCGAUGGAACAGUUAACAAAUAUAUACAUACAUUAAGCAAAUCAGAAAUCGAUGAUGUACAUAAGGACAGAGAACAUAAAUCCUUUUCAGAGGAUUUUAAGAUUUCCAUCUUAUUUGAGGGAGAGAAUUAUAGCAAUGAUGUUCAAGCUGAACCUUCCGAAAAAGAGAAAAAUGACAACGUUUUAAAUUUUGAAAGAUCGGAUUAUGACAGUUUGUCUCCAAACAAUUAUGACAGUUUAUCUCCAAACUGCUUUCUUAAAACAAAAGUCUUACCUGCAAUCGUCAAUGAUAAUACAGCGAAAAGUCAAACAAUAGAACCGUUGGAUCAUAAGGAUAUAGUUACUAAAAUUCAAUACGACACAUCAACCAAUUCUAAGAAUACUUCGACUGCGUCUAAACGCAAACAGCCUAACAGCAAACCUCUUUUAUCAAGCUUGAAUGAUUCCACAAAGGAGGAAAUAAAAAAAAAUCAUAUAAUUAAUCAACCGUCCAUUAAAAAAAAUGAUUUAAUCAAAUGGCAGAAUAGUGAAGUUCAUAUCACCUCUGACACUCGAAGUAUAAAUGAAAAUAAGAACAUCAAUUACAAUUCAUACAUCACAUGUAAACAAUCCUCUCCAAAAUUCAACUGUGGUACCGAAGAAGUCGAGGAAGAUUGGGAAUCCGAAUAAACACCCGAGACGAUUUAAAAGACUUCUGGCUGAACGAUCUCUUAUUUUUGAUGUAUAAAACGAAGCCACCAGAACUGGAUUUAUAUGUCCUCAAGACUUUUACGAGUAUACUAGCAGACAGGCUUGCAAAGAUCCAAUUCCUUUAACAGGGAAGACGAUCGAUUACAGCUGGGCUCUGCACAUCUGUUUAGACUUUAAUGUACAUAGGUGAAUCAACAUACCUGUAAUCAAUGCUUAUUACGGACUUAUAAUUCUUGGUGAUUUAGCAAAGUAAUUAAAAUUGCUAAGUAAUUGGCUAAUCUAUUCGAAUUUGUAAAUAUACUGUAUGAUAUUUAUUUAAGUAGUUUUAACAAUUAUUUUAAAUAAACUCAUGUACAUUUUGUAUUGUA